rnacentral:tRNA from 1 species
GCACCCGUAGCUCAAAUGGAUAGAGCACUCGGCUACGAACCGAGAGGUCGGAGGUUCAAAUCCUCUCGGGUGUA